rnacentral:lncRNA from 1 species
AAAUAUGAUGACAUCAAAAAGGUGGUGAAGCAGGCAUCAGAGGGCCCCCUCAAGGGCAUUCUGGGCUACACUGAGCACCCAGGCUGUCUUCUCCGACUUUAACAGUGACACCCACUCUUCCACCUUCGAUGCUGGGGCUGGCAUUGCCCUCAGUGACCACUUUAUCAAGCUCAUUUCCUGGUAUGACAAUGAAUUUGGCUAUAGCAAUAGAGUGGUGGACCUCAUGGCCCACAUGGCCUCCAAG